CGAAGUAGGAAUCUAUGCGUCAAGUGUUCAUUGGCUGGGGAGUCGCCAUGAAACGAAAAGCUGUACAGCAGCUUACGAUAUAUUUUCCGCACCCGUUG
rnacentral:ncRNA from 1 species